GGCUGACAGAGGGAGGUGGCUGGGUGGGAUAUGGGCUAGACGGGUGAUGGGUGCUAAGGAGGGCACUUGUUAUGAUGAGCACUGGGUGUUGCAUGUAAGUGAUGAAUCACUGAAUUUUGCUCCUGAAA